AGUGAACGCUGGCGGUAGGCCUAACACAUGCAAGUCGAACGGCAGCACAGUAAGAGCUUGCUCUUACGGGUGGCGAGUGGAGGACGGGUGAGGAAUACAUCGGAAUCUACUUUUUCGUGGGGGAUAACGUAGGGAAACUUACGCUAAUACCGCAUACGACCUACGGGUGAAAGCAGGGGAUCUUCGGACCUUGCGCGAUUGAAUGAGCCGAUGUCGGAUUAGCUAGUUGGCGGGGUAAAGGCCCACCAAGGCGACGAUCCGUAGCUGGUCUGAGAGGAUGAUCAGCCACACUGGAACUGAGACACGGUCCAGACUCCUACGGGAGGCAGCAGUGGGGAAUAUUGGACAAUGGGCGCAAGCCUGAUCCAGCCAUACCGCGUGGGUGAAGAAGGCCUUCGGGUUGUAAAGCCCUUUUGUUGGGAAAGAAAAGCAGCAGGUUAAUACCCCGCUGUUCCGACGGUACCCAAAGAAUAAGCACCGGCUAACUUCGUG
rnacentral:rRNA from 1 species